rnacentral:ncRNA from 1 species
GAAAGCUGCAUGCGCUGAGAGGUGCACGUGCAGUUUGGGGAGAAGAUGCAGGGAAAUAGUUCAACUCUUACUCUAC